UAUUGAAGGAAAAGUGGUAACAAGGUUUACGUAGGGAACUUGGGAAGGAGCAUUG
rnacentral:rRNA from 1 species